UACGAAGGGGGCUAGCGUUGCUCGGAAUCACUGGGCGUAAAGGGUGCGUAGGCGGGUCUUUAAGUCAGGGGUGAAAUCCUGGAGCUCAACUCCAGAACUGCCUUUGAUACUGAAGAUCUUGAGUUCGGGAGAGGUGAGUGGAACUGCGAGUGUAGAGGUGAAAUUCGUAGAUAUUCGCAAGAACACCGGUGGCGAAGGCGGCUCACUGGCCCGGAACUGACGCUGAGGCACGAAAGCGUGGGGAGCAAACAGG
rnacentral:rRNA from 1 species